rnacentral:rRNA from 1 species
UACGUAGGUGGCAAGCGUUAUCCGGAAUUAUUGGGCGUAAAGAGCGCGCAGGUGGUUGAUUAAGUUUGAUGUGAAAGCCCACGGCUUAACCGUGGAGGGUCAUUGGAAACUGGUCGACUUGAGUGCAGAAGAGGGAAGUGGAAUUCCAUGUGUAGCGGUGAAAUGCGUAGAGAUAUGGAGGAACACCAGUGGCGAAGGCGGCUUCCUGGUCUGUAACUGACACUGAGGCGCGAAAGCGUGGGGAGCAAACAGGAUUAGAUACCCU